rnacentral:rRNA from 1 species
AUUGAACGCUGGCGGCAGGCCUAACACAUGCAAGUCGAGCGGAGCGGCGGACGGGGGAGUAAUGCCUAGGAAUCUGCCUGGUCGUGGGGGAUAACGUCAGGAAACGGGCGCUAAUACCACCUACUCUCAGAUGAGCCUAGGUCGGAUUAGCUAGUGGGGGGGGUAAAGGCCUACCAAGGCGACGAUCCGUAACUGGUCUGAGAGGAUGAUCAGUCACACUGGAACUGAGACACGGUCCAGACUCCUACGGGAGGCAGCAGUGGGGAAUAUUGGACAAUGGGCGAAAGCCUGAUCCAGCCAUGCCGCGUGUGUGAAGAAGGUCUUCGGAUUGUAAAGUACUUUAAGUUGGGAGGCGUUAUCAACAGAAUAAGCACCGGCUAACUUCGUGCCAGCAGCCGCGGUAAUUC